GCCUGAAUAGCUCAGCUGGAAGAGCGAUAGACCCUUAAUCUAUAGGUCCAGGGAUCAAAGCCCUGUUCUGGCG
rnacentral:tRNA from 1 species